GAUGAACGCUGGCGGCGUGCCUAAUACAUGCAAGUCGAGCGAACAGACGAGGAGCUUGCUCCUCUGACGUUAGCGGCGGACGGGUGAGUAACACGUGGAUAACCUACCUAUAAGACUGGGAUAACUUCGGGAAACCGGAGCUAAUACCGGAUAACAUGUUGAACCGCAUGGUUCAACAGUGAAAGACGGUCUUGCUGUCACUUAUAGAUGGAUCCGCGCCGCAUUAGCUAGUUGGUAAGGUAACGGCUUACCAGGGCAACGAUGCGUAGCCGACCUGAGAGGGUGAUCGGCCACACUGGAACUGAGACACGGUCCAGACUCCUACGGGAGGCAGCAGUAGGGAAUCUUCCGCAAUGGGCGAAAGCCUGACGGAGCAACGCCGCGUGAGUGAUGAAGGUCUUCGGAUCGUAAAACUCUGUUAUUAGGGAAGAACAAAUGUGUAAGUAACUAUGCACGUCUUGACGGUACCUAAUCAGAAAGCCACGGCUAACUACGUGC
rnacentral:rRNA from 1 species